rnacentral:rRNA from 1 species
UACGGGGGGGGCAAGCGUUGUUCGGAAUUACUGGGCGUAAAGCGCGCGUAGGCGGCUUUGCAAGUCGGGUGUGAAAUCCCCAGGCUCAACCUGGGAACUGCAUUCGAGACUGCAUUGCUAGAGUAUGGGAGAGGGAAGUGGAAUUUCCGGUGUAGCGGUGAAAUGCGUAGAUAUCAGGAGGAACACCUAUUGCGAAGGCAGCUCGCUGGGACGUAACUGACGCUGAGACGCGAAAGCGUGGGGAGCAAACAGG